UUAUGUAAACAAAAACUUAUUUUGAAUGCGAUUAAUCACGAUUAAUCAUUUGACCACACUACUAAUUACAUUUGUCUAGUUUAAUGUAAUACGAUUUUUUUUCCGUCAGUGAUAGAAAAAUUAUUUAAAUCGUUAGUGUAAGCAGGUUUAUUUUGAAAAAGUUUAAUUGCAAAUAUGACACAAUUUGACAAUUUUUCAAUAAAAUAAGAGUAAGUAGAGGAAAAAAUUAUUUGCUAGGACUGAUGGAGUGAUGAAUGCUGCACAAACACGCACGCAUGUGUGAAAUUCGGAUGUGCUACAUCCGCCAUGUUGUUACUAUCACAUGACCUACCAGUAUCAGUUGCAUGCUUCACUUCCAUGCUCUCCCGUGGCCUCAUGGGAUAGAAAAGUGUCCAUCUAAUGCACGCUUCUGAAAGCAGCUGAUCCGGUUAAUUUUUUUGCUUACUGUUUUUCGAAUACUAUGAAUUCUGACAUACUACUCACUGCCUACACUGUUUUUCGCCUACUAUAUAGAAGGGAAGUAUGCGAUUUCGAAUGCAGCUUAAGUGUGUAGUGUUGGACACUUCAUGCACUCAACUGUUGCAGCUUAAAUUACGUAGCGAAGGGGAGGGGCUAUCAAACUCUGAUUACGAAUUAAAAAUAACCUUAUAAUACAUACACUGAUUGAGUGCAUAGUGAAUAGUGCCUCAUUUGGGAUGCAGCUUCCAGGAAAACAAAUAAAUAAAUAUAGAUGACAUCAUCCUGCACCAGACGGAUUUUUGUCCAAUCGGGUGCUGUCUAGAAUGAGCAUACUGGCUAAUUGCCAUUUUCUUUAACACUGAAUGAAUAUUUAUGUAUUUAUUUUCUUACCAUGUUCUCAUAAAUGCUGGUUUAACAUUUCUACAUGAUAUUGAAUGUUUAUUGUACCACACAGGGUAUUUACAGACAUUAUAUUUUAGGUCAACAAUAACCAGUCGGUGAACCUCCACUCUUUUUGACCUCAAACUUUGUGUGGAUUAUAAAAUCAAAAGUAAAACAAUGUCUUUAAAAAGAUACACAAACAGAAAUGUAGCUAUAUAUAUAUAUAUUAAUAAUUAAUAACAUUAUAUAAUUAUGUAUUAUGAAAACGUAAAUUAAUACAACAGUGAAUCUGAUUACAGAAAAUAAGCCCCAGUAUAUUUACAUGUGAGGUAUGUAUUAUUAUUUUAAGUCUCAUUAAUGUAUAAUAAUUGUUCUUGUCGCCCUCGUCUUAUGUAUGUCAAUUUUCUCAUGUUCUGGGCGCGCCCUCACACACGUAUAAACCGAAAUAAACAGACUAUUUUAGACUGAAGUUGUCAUAAAGUCUGACUUUGACACGGUGCAACUCGAAGGUCUCUCUGCUGGCUGCAGUUCUUCUGUCUGCCGCUAGAGACACAGUGGCGCUGCGGCGCACGACAGGUGACAUCACUGGAGCGGCACGAGACCAGCAGAAAAUUAAGGCUGUAUCUUUCAUCUGUUAAAUAUGCAAAGAGAUUGAUGUUUCUCAAUAGGCAUGGGUUCGUUGUGGUUUACAUAAAUGAAAACCACUUCCUCUGCUCAUCUCAGUAAAGUGAGUAUCUGGAUUCUUUCCCAUUGUGUUUUCUCAUUUCUAUGAUCUCUUAAUCCUUUUGUUUUUACGUUUGAUUGCAGCAAUCGUGAGUUCAGCUUCUUUUUAUUAAAGUCGGAUUGAGUCCGAGAGGAUCCCAGUUCAGAAAACUCUCUUAAUUUGUUGUCAACCUUAUCAGUAUUUAAUUCAUAAUUAUUAACUCAAGUUAAGAACAACACUGCAUAUAAUAUAAUGCAAAUAUAUGAAUGAAUCUUAAUUCAGGUGAACCGAUUCGCGACUCGGUAGUGUGAGGGAUGACUGCUGGAGUUAACUAAAUAUAAUUUAAUUUUGUUCUUAAAUGUUUUAUCUAUAUUUAGGGUGUUAGAGAUUUAAAUGGGUAAUAAAAUAAAUGAAAAUAAAUUGGUACACCUUGGUAAAAGCAUAUGACACAAAUUUCAGAGGAAUGUCUUUGGGGAUGUUCAUAGUCAACUCAGCCAAUUAACUAUAUUAAAUAUAAGUAAAUGAACUGAACAUAAGGUAGAUUAACUAUUUCUUUCAAAACGGUUAUCCAAGUGUUUUAUGACACACACACACACACACACACACUGUUCCUAAUGGUUCUGUUGUUUCUCUUGCAUACGAGUUUCUUCCUCUUUUUCUUUUGGGUUAGUUCCAGCCCUCCUGUGUUUCACUUUAAUAACGCCUACAGUCACACCACACACACUUUAACAUCUCACCUUCUUUCACUGUAUAUAUACACACACACACACACACACACUUGCUUUCAGCUCUCAUAGCAAACCAUACUCUCCAGCAAAACAAAACCUGGGCUUAAGUUCAAGCUGUUGUGCUUUAGUUUGUUUUUAACCUCAACUUCACCAAAUGUACAUGUAAACCUGAUGAAACAUGAUUUCAGUGUGAGGACAAAUGCGUGUACUGAGAGUUGAGUAGUUCCUGAAACUGUUCGAGUAUGUUGUUAGUCAUGCGUGAUUGCACAGCAAAUAUAACAGAUGCGUUGAACCCAAACUUCCUGUUGUUGCUUGUGUGUUUCCUGUGUGUGGGUUUUAGCGUCUGAGGUUAUGCAGACACACAGUUGAAGCUGUUACAUACAAACACACACACAAAGCUGGGUCAUCAUCUCAUAGACUAUUAAAACAGACAAUCUGUGAUCAGUGUGUCUGAUGAUGACUAGUGAAGAGCACCUUCAGACUUAAAUUGCUCUAAUUCUGGGUAAUAUUUUGAAAGGACAACAAAUGAGAAGAGGAUCGAGAAGCACAGACGAUCUGGACCCAUUUAGAUGCUUCCAUGCAGAGAUGCAUUGUCCUCUGAAUCACUAGUUUACUGGGAUUCAUUAUGGCAUGUGGAUUUUUUAAACCCUGAAUUUUGGUAAUCCAAAAUUUCUUGUCACAGACAUUAAGCCUGUUUUGAUGGGUGUUGCUUAUGGUUUUCCCGUAACUGAUGAUCAACAUCCCGUCAAUUAACCAUAAAAAACAAUGUAUUCAAGGAGUGAGACAUUCUCAUUAUAGAGUGCCUUUUAUAGAAAGUGAUGAUUUAAGUGUGUUCUUCCGAAAAAUUAGUGCAAAACUUUAGUCAGUGUGCAGGUGUACACCUGAAUACGAAUGAACUCGAAACUAACAUUAAAAAGGCACAACGCUCCCAUUUUGGUUGUAGUUUUUAAGUUUGUCUUCAAAAACACUACUUUUAUAAUGAAAAAAUAUAUAUAAAUCAAUAAAACACACACAAAAAAACUUGUUCAGCUUUGUAAAAAAAAUCGUUUUAUUUUUCCUGGCAAGGUAAAGAGAGAAAAGUGUGAUUGUUUUUCUUUCAGAGUCUCAGUGCAGAUUUCCACACGCAGCCGUCGUUCUCCGCCUCGCCAUCCUUCCUUACGUCACUUCCUGUCUUUGCUUUCAGCUCGCUCUUAUUUAAAAUCCGCCAACAAACAAAUAUUGACAAGAAAAAACAAGACGCAUGAUGAAUCCAACAGUUUUAUCAGUAAAUUUACCAGCAACGUCCUUACAAAAAAUAAAAGUAGCAAAACAAAAACUGCAUGACAAGCGAUAAUCCAAAUUUAAAUUAUGCAUUUUGCUCAAAUAGAAUGUAAUUGUUGUUAACUCGGUUCUAUUUAAGUAACCGAAAUUAGCAAUAGCAGCAAAACUAAAAAAAAA